GGCAUAAGCCAGCUUGACUGCGAGCGUGACGGCGCGAGCAGGUGCGAAAGCAGGUCAUAGUGAUCCGGUGGUUCUGAAUGGAAGGGCCAUCGCUCAACGGAUAAAAGGUACUCCGGGGAUAACAGGCAAAACGGUGCUGUUCGUUGCAGAUAACCACCGGGCUUUCGCACUCCACGCCGUUC
rnacentral:rRNA from 1 species